rnacentral:rRNA from 1 species
GACAGAGGGUGCAAACGUUGUUCGGAAUUACUGGGCGUAAAGCGCGUGUAGGCUGCCCCGAAAGUCAGGUGUGAAAGCCCUGGGCUCAACCCAGGAAGUGCACUUGAAACUUCGGUGGCUUGAGUUCUGGAGAGGAUGGCGGAAUUCUCGGUGUAGAGGUGAAAUGCGUAGAUAUCUGGAGGAACACCGGUGGCGAAGGCGGCAUCCUGGACCAACACCGACGC